UUUGCUACGCCUCGCCUGGACCCGAGCCUGCUGACUCACCGGAUCAUAUCCUGUGGCUCCAACUCGCCUUGCUAUACCGGGGCCACCUCGAGCGAGCCGUGUUGCCGGGACGCUCCCACGCGCUUCCCUCCGCUCCGAACCGCCUCUCCUCAGCCGUGUUUCGCCUCAAAGCUGACCCGCCGGCAUUGCCCUCUAGCCGUCGCAGCGUUCCGCGAGCCGCCCCGUCACGCGGCCGCUGCUGUUCCAGCCUCCACUGCACUUUGAGCCGCCGCGGCGCCCGCCUCCGCGCGCUGUUUGCGCCGGGUCGCUCGCCUCUGCCGCCUUGAGCUGCCACUCGACCACUAGUGGCUCUUUCCCUUCCCUACCAAGGAUGCCGAGGCACUCGUGCUUGCACACUGCCGACCCCCACGCAACCUCGUUCCGAGUCACCAGCCACCGCAGUUGCCUCGAUGACCUCGCAUCGAGAUGCCGUGGCAGGUCUUAAGCCUCGCCCGACCGCGUCUCUGCCGCCGCAUGCUGACUCCACCACGCUGCGCCGCUCCCUCUACCGCGGCUUCACCUACUUCGCUCACCUCCGCCGCCUCAUUUGCGGCUGGCUCCACCCCCACCACGCGAGCAGCCGUCCGUGCCUGCGUUCGCCCAGCUUAUAACACGACCGGGUGAGCAGUUUCUCGUCUGGAUAAAGAAAAGCGGAAGGGGGAGGAGUCAGAGACAGGCCAAUCUAAUUUUAACCGUACAUGCAUGGAAUUAACCCCCAAAUUAAGCUCAUCGAUUUUGGUCUCCAACUCUCCAUACAGUUGGUGUUGAUAUUCCCCAGCAACGGCGGCAGAAAUCCUUGUUGAUACUCGUGAUGUGCAUUUGGUUUUCCGUGAAGAGGAACUGGUUAUCGCAGCACGAAGUGGUGCCAAAGCAAAGCUGAAAGAAAGGUCGAGUUCUACUUCAGCGGCUACAACUGAUGUAGACAUGGUGGCUUCAGCGGCCCAGGAAAAUACCGUAGAAGACCCGACUUUCAGUGAUCCAUUUCUCAAUAGCCCAAGUCCUCAAGAACCUGUUGUUGAAGAAGAAGAUAAGAGGGAACAUGCCAAACAUGAUGAUGUGAUGUUUCUUUUUGAAAAACAAAAAACAACACCCAACAUCUCCAAUGUCUUGACCAAGGUUGUAGUUAAACAAAAUCCGGCAUUGCGUCAAGAGCCGCCUCCUUAGCCUUAUAUGGAAUUUCUUGAGGAGAUGGGCUUUGAAGAUCUUCACGAAGCAUAUGAAACCCGUGUUGUUGACAAUAGAUCACAUGAAGGUGCAUUGCUGGCACAUAUGAAGAGAAAACAUGAGGUACGUGUCUUUCCUUAUAUUUAUAUUACCUGUAACCCCCAAGUUGCGAGUUUGUCACCUAGUGAUAACUUGGUGCUUAUUACAAAAAAAGGACCAUUACCAUGUAGCCACCAAGUGUCGGGUUGCACGCUCGCACCAACUUAGAACUUUUCCUCAGUCUUGUUAAUUUGUACUUUCAAACUAUGUAGCCCCCAAGUGUUGGGUUGCCUUGCCUGCCGCAACUUGGGACAUACCAAUUGUACUAUUAUGCUUCAAAGUAGUGUAGCCCCAAAGUACCUAGUCGUAUUGCCUAAAACAAUCUACGACUAAAUAUAUUUACGUAACUCUUGUCUUAAAAUUGACACGAUGUCGCCCCCAAGCACCAUGAUGUAUUUAUUGGGAUGACCCAAGGUUCUAUUUUCUGAACUAACUUUCAUAGACACAAUUGUACAAAUAUGUAAGGCAAGUAGAGCAAGAAUUUGCGAACUUGAAAUAGCUGCUUGGCAAAGAAGCCGGAAAAUGUGAAAAGGCCAAGAAGCGGGCUCAAGAUAUCCAAGGAUCUACACUCAAGGUUUCUCAAAAGUUGUAGAUGCCAAGAAAAAAAUUCCCAGGGUAGGAGGAGAAUCUAACCCAGCGGGAAUUGUAGAGGAAAAACUGAAUGUUGUGGACUUGGAUUGCACGACCAUAAAAACCAACUGAACAAGAUCUCCAUCGCCACUUUCAAUAAAAAAUGUGCAAUCAAUCUCGAGCGGCAUGACUUCAAACUGAAGGCUUUGUACAUGCUAAUUAAGCUGUUGUACAUUGGAAGUGCAAAGGUUAUAAGAAGUGUGAAAGGUUGGGUCCAGCUACCACAAAAUUGAUUGAUUUGUUGGAAGAACUAUUAAUUAUGCCAGAGUGGUUAAAGAUUUGAAGCUUUCUGCUUGUCCUAAGGGAGAAAUGCCGGUCAUAGCCUUGGCAAAGACAUAUCUUCCAGAGAUGAAUCCAGAUAUGCUGGCUGGGUGGUGGGUUUCCUGAAAUAAAAUUUGACAAUACUACUUUGGUGCAACCCACUUUUCUAGGGUAAAUAAGGAGACUUGACAUUAUGCUUGUAUAAUUGCACGUGGUUUGGAAUUGUCCCAAUUUUAGCCUAGAUAUGAUUCUCGCAAUAGGCGUAUAGAGCCGCUAAAUCCCAAGAUGUUCGAUCUUGUUCCUAAGCACCCAAAACAGACUCCGCUGACUCCCUCUGCACCACCCAGUUCUAGCACACCAGUGAUCCCGUUCCUCCUAGAACGGACUCCCAAGAUGAGGAUAGUUGUGCCAUUGAGGGGAUAUAUAUUAAUACAUUGGUUUAACAAUGAUUUGAUGGGAGCUACUUGUGGUGGCGUAGGAGUUGGCUAUAAGGAUGCUGAGGAAGUCGGCAAGGAUGAAGCUCCAAGUCCAAGGAUGGAGACCAAGAGAAGCGAGAUGAAGAUAAGAUGGAUGACCCGACUCACUCCACCAUAGAGAAACCGAAGGACUCGGCUAAUCCUGCACAAGAGAAAACUGUGGUCGGGUCUGAUACACAAACUACAACAAAGUAGUAUUACUCUGCAAAAAACAAUGACAUUCAACCAAACGGGCUUGUAGUAGUUUAGAAACUUAAGUUUUAUCUAGAUGGCGUGCGUGUCCACUUGUGAAUUUGCUAUCUCUAAUGAACUCAAUAGUUUCAUUCAAAAUUUUGGCUUUGUUAGCCCUUUUGGUUUGUCUUAUCUUGGAAAGCCAGCUUUCUCGUGAUAUGUUCUUGGUGUGAUCAAGUAUUAAAAGUUCAGUGUCAUCUAAGU